rnacentral:rRNA from 1 species
AUUGAACGCUGGCGGCAUGCCUUACACAUGCAAGUCGAACGGCAGCACGGGUGCUUGCACCUGGUGGCGAGUGGCGAACGGGUGAGUAAUACAUCGGAACGUACCUUAUCGUGGGGGAUAACGCAGCGAAAGCUGUGCUAAUACCGCAUACGCCCUGAGGGGGAAAGCGGGGGAUCGCAAGACCUCGCGCGAUUAGAGCGGCCGAUGCCUGAUUAGCUUGUUGGUGGGGUAAAAGCCCAUCAAGGCGACGAUCAGUAGCUGGUCUGAGAGGACGAUGGGCGAAACUGAGAAUGAGACACGGCCCAGGGUCCUACGGGAGGCAGCAGUGGGGAAUUGUGGACAAUGGGGGCAACCCUGAUCCAGCAAUGCCGCGUGAGUGAAGAAGGCCUUCGGGUUGUAAAGCUCUUUUGUCAGGGAAGAAACACCGGCUCUAACACAGCCCGGGAAUGACGGUACCUGAAGAAUAAGCACCGGCUAACUACGUGCCAGCCGCCGCGGUAA